CCGCCCGUCACACCAUGGGAGUUGGAUUCACUCGAAGGCGUUGAGCUAACCCGCAAGGGAGGCAGGCGACCACAGUGGGUUUAGCGACUGGGGUG
rnacentral:rRNA from 1 species